rnacentral:rRNA from 1 species
UACGUAGGGUGCGAGCGUUGUCCGGAAUUAUUGGGCGUAAAGGGCUCGUAGGCGGUUUGUCGCGUCGGGAGUGAAAUCCACUGGCUUAACUGGUGGCUUGCUUUCGAUACGGGCAGACUGGAGGUAUGCAGGGGAGAACGGAAUUCCUGGUGUAGCGGUGAAAUGCGCAGAUAUCAGGAGGAACACCGGUGGCGAAGGCGGUUCUCUGGGAAUGUACUGACGCUGAGGAGCGAAAGUGUGGGGAGCGAACAGG